GCUGGUUCUCUCUCUCUCACUCUCUUGAUUGCUUUUUCUUUUUCUUUUUCUUUUCUCAUUCAAUCUUUGAGACUUGAUUACUUCUUCAUUUCUUACUGGAUUUAGGUGUCGUUUGAGGCAAAACGAAGAGCACAGUGAGCUCUACACGUUUAUACCAUCAAUUCCAGCUUUGAGCCUCCCUAGCAUCUUCGAAAUUAAAACCCAUUUUUGAGGGUUUUUCGCAAAUAAGAGGUCAUAGCAAGGGUCAGCGGAUGACAAUUCACCGCAAGCUUGAAAGUUGUUUGAAGACCAUCUUGCUAUUUUGUACCUUGUCCAUUUUAUGUAUAAUCAUUUUGUGGGGGAACGUAACUAAGUGAUACAUGGCCUUGUAAUGUAAGAAUGAAACCUCACUUUUAAUUGAUGUAAAUGGGAUUAACGUAACCAUGAUUUAUAGCUUUAUGUAAAAGUAAUCAAGUGAUGUUUUAUGUGAUCA